rnacentral:rRNA from 1 species
ACGCACGCUGGCGGCAUGCCUAACACCUGCAAGUCGAACGAGACCUUCGGGUCUAGUGGCGCACGGGUGCGUAACGCGUGGGAACCUGCCCUUAGGUUCGGAAUAACUCCCCGAAAGGGGUGCUAAUACCGGAUAAUGUCUUCGGACCAAAGAUUUAUCGCCUUUGGAUGGGCCCGCGUUGGAUUAGCUAAUUGGUAGGGUAAAAGCCUACCAAGGCGACGAUCCAUAGCUGGUCUGAGAGGAUGAUCAGCCACACUGGGACUGAGACACGGCCCAGACUCCUACGGGAGGCAGCAGUGGGGAAUAUUGGACAAUGGGCGAAAGCCUGAUCCAGCAAUGCCGCGUGAGUGAUGAAGGCCUUAGGGUUGUAAAGCUCUUUUACCCGGGAUGAUAAUGACAGUACCGGGAGAAUAAGCGCCGGCUAACUCCGUG